UAGGGAAUCUUCGGCAAUGGACGAAAGUCUGACCGAGCAACGCCGCGUGAGUGAAGAAGGUUUUCGGAUCGUAAAACUCUGUUGUUAGAGAAGAACAAGGACGUUAGUAACUGAACGUCCCCUGACGGUAUCUAACCAGAAAGCCACGGCUAACUACGUGCCAGCAGCCGCGGUAAUACGUAGGUGGCAAGCGUUGUCCGGAUUUAUUGGGCGUAAAGCGAGCGCAGGCGGUUUCUUAAGUCUGAUGUGAAAGCCCCCGGCUCAACCGGGGAGGGUCAUUAGAUACUGGGAGACUUGAGUGCAGAAGAGGAGAGUGGAAUUCCAUGUGUAGCGGUGAAAUGCGUAGAUAUAUGGAGGAACACCAGUGGCGAAGGCGGCUCUCUGGUCUGUAACUGACGCUGAGGCUCGAAAGCGUGGGGAGCAAACAGG
rnacentral:rRNA from 1 species